rnacentral:tRNA from 1 species
GCCCGGGUGGCGAAACCGGUAUACGCGGAGCACUCAAAAUGCUCUGCCCGCAAGGGCGUGCGGGUUCGAGUCCCGCCCCGGGCA